rnacentral:rRNA from 1 species
UACGGAAAGCAGCAGUGGGGAAUAUUGCACAAUGGGCGCAAGCCUGAUGCAGCCAUGCCGCGUGUAUGAAAAAGGCCUUCGGGUUGUAAAGCACUUUCAGUCGUGAGGAAGGUGUUAAGGUUAAUAACCUUAGCAAUUGACGUUAGCGACAGAAGAAGCACCGGCUAACUCCGUGCCAGCAGCCGCGGUAAUACGGAGGGUGCGAGCGUUAAUCGGAAUUACUGGGCGUAAAGGGCACGCAGGCGGUUAAUUAAGUUGGAUGUGAAAUCCCCGGGCUUAACCUGGGAAUGGCAUUCAAGACUGGUUAGCUAGAGUCUUGUAGAGGGGGGUAGAAUUCCAUGUGUAGCGGUGAAAUGCGUAGAGAUGUGGAGGAAUACCGGUGGCGAAGGCGGCCCCUGGACAAAGACUGACGCUCAUGUGCGAAAGCGUGGGGAGCAAAC